CACAAGUCAAAUGGAUAUUUACCGCGUGCGCAAGUCUCAAGUCUGAACCUUCAAGUCUCAAUUGUGUGAUUGCAGUACCAGUUUUGAGACACCCCUCGCUGCAGACUGUAGCGCGAUGACAUCACGUACUGACGUCAGAUGCAUGUUUCUGGAUACUGGAAGGCGUAACUUACAGAAAACAGUCACCAAGUACAGUCCAGCUAAGCCAGGAAACCGGACCAGAGAAUGAAUUGAUGCCAUCUGUUUGAACCACAGUGCUCAUUUGGAAGGCUUCCUUGAGGACUGCUUCAGGAU